rnacentral:rRNA from 1 species
UACGGGGGGGGUAAGCGUUGUUCGGAAUUACUGGGCGUAAAGGGCUCGUAGGCGGCCAACUAAGUCGGACGUGAAAUCCCUCAGCUUAACUGGGGAACUGCGUCCGAUACUGGAUGGCUUGGAUUUGGGAGAGGGAUGUGGAAUUCCAGGUGUAGCGGUGAAAUGCGUAGAUAUCUGGAGGAACACCGGUGGCGAAGGCGGCAUCCUGGACCAACAUUGACGCUGAGGAGCGAAAGCUAGGGGAGCAAACGGG